AGUGAACGCUGGCGGUAGGCCUAACACAUGCAAGUCGAACGGCAGCACAGUAAGAGCUUGCUCUUACGGGUGGCGAGUGGCGGACGGGUGAGGAAUACAUCGGAAUCUACUUUUUCGUGGGGGAUAACGUAGGGUAACUUACGCUAAUACCGCAUACGACCUACGGGUGAAAGCAGGGGAUCUUCGGACCUUGCGCGAUUGAAUGAGCCGAUGUCGGAUUAGCUAGUUGGCGGGGUAAAGGCCCACCAAGGCGACGAUCCGUAGCUGGUCUGAGAGGAUGAUCAGCCACACUGGAACUGAGACACGGUCCAGACUCCUACGGGAGGCAGCAGUGGGGAAUAUUGGACAAUGGGCGCAAGCCUGAUCCAGCCAUACCGCGUGGGUGAAGAAGGCCUUCGGGUUGUAAAGCCCUUUUGUUGGGAAAGAAAAGCAGCAGGUUAAUACCCCGCUGUUCUGACGGUACCCAAAGAAUAAGCACCGGCUAACUUCGUGC
rnacentral:rRNA from 1 species